CCAGUGGCCUGGAGGUGAGGUUCCCCUCCCCAGCGGUCUGGCUCUCCCUGGGCACCCUCACUGUGUCUCCCUCCCUGGGCACCCUCCAUGGGCACCCUCCCUGGGCACCCUCACUGUGUCUCCCUCCCUGGGCACCCUCCUUGAGUCUCCCUCCCUGGGCACCCUCACUGUGUCUCCCUCCCUGGGCACCCUCCAUCGGCACCCUCUAUGGACACCCUCACUGUGUCUCCCUCCCUGGGCACCCUCACUGUGUCUCCCUCCCUGGGCAUCCUCACUGUGUCUCCCUCUCUGGGCACCCUCCCUCAGGCUCUGUGCACCCAAACUCUCCUCCUCGGGCCCGGUACAGGAUCUGCUGCCCGGGCCCGAGUCUUCAACAGGGCAGCACGCCUGGACAACGUGGCGCGCGGCCUGCUCCGCGCCCUGUCCUUCCACCGCCGGUGUCCGGGUGGUGGCAUCUGAGGUGGACCGUGC